rnacentral:tRNA from 1 species
CAUUGAGUGGCUGAUAAAAGCUUUAGUCUCUUAAACUAUUAUAUGAAUUUUUUCCUCAAUGA